UACGUAGGGGGCUAGCGUUGUCCGGAAUCAUUGGGCGUAAAGCGCGUGUAGGCGGUCCGGUAAGUCCGCUGUGAAAGUCGGGGGCUCAACCCUCGAAUGCCGGUGGAUACUGUCGGGCUAGAGUGCGGAAGAGGCGAGUGGAAUUCCUGGUGUAGCGGUGAAAUGCGCAGAUAUCAGGAGGAACACCGGUGGCGAAGGCGGUUCUCUGGGCCUUACCUGACGCUGGAGGAGCGAAAGCGUGGGGAGCAAACAGG
rnacentral:rRNA from 1 species